rnacentral:rRNA from 1 species
UACGUAGGGGGCUAGCGUUGUCCGGAAUCAUUGGGCGUAAAGCGCGUGUAGGCGGUCCGGUAAGUCCGCUGUGAAAGUCGGGGGCUCAACCCUCGGAUGCCGGUGGAUACUGUCGGGCUUGAGUACGGAAGAGGCGAGUGGAAUUCCUGGUGUAGCGGUGAAAUGCGCAGAUAUCAGGAGGAACACCAAUUGCGAAGGCAGCUCGCUGGGACGUUACUGACGCUGAGACGCGAAAGCGUGGGGAGCAAACAGGAUAGAAACCCUUGU